rnacentral:rRNA from 1 species
AUUGAACGCUGGCGGCAGGCUUAACACAUGCAAGUCGAGCGGAGAUGAGGUGCUUGCACCUUAUCUUAGCGGCGGACGGGUGAGUAAUGCUUAGGAAUCUGCCUAUUAGUGGGGGACAACAUUCCGAAAGGAAUGCUAAUACCGCAUACGCCCUACGGGGGAAAGCAGGGGAUCUUCGGACCUUGCGCUAAUAGAUGAGCCUAAGUCGGAUUAGCUAGUUGGUGGGGUAAAGGCCUACCAAGGCGACGAUCUGUAGCGGGUCUGAGAGGAUGAUCCGCCAAGCUGGGACCGUGACACGGCCCAGAAUCCCUCGGGAGGUAGGAGUGGGGAAUAUUGGACAAUGGGGGGAACCCUGAUCCAGCCAUGCCGCGUGUGUGAAGAAGGCCUUUUGGUUGUAAAGCACUUUAAGCGAGGAGGAGGCUACCUAGAUUAAUACUCUGGGAUAGUGGACGUUACUCGCAGAAUAAGCACCGGCUAACUCUGUGCCAGCAGCCGCAGUAAGAC